GAAGCGAGGCUGUGAAGCGGAGCAAAUCUCAAAAACCGGUCCCAGUUCGGAUUNUAGGCUGCAACUCGCCUACAUGAAGUCGGAGUUGCUAGUAAUCGCGGAUCAGAAUGCCGCGGUGAAUGCGUUCCCGGGUCUUGUACACACCGCCCGUCACACCAUGGAAGUUGGGGCGCCCGAAGUUGCCUAAGAAAUAAGGUACCUAAGGCGAAACCAAUGACUGGGGUGAAGUCGUAACAAGGUACC
rnacentral:rRNA from 1 species